CACGUAGGGCGCAAGCGUUGUCCGGAAUUAUUGGGCGUAAAGAGCUCGUAGGCGGACUGUCACGUCUGCUGUGAAAAGCUGGGGCUUAACCCUGGCCUUGCAGUGGAUACGGGCAGACUAGAGGUAGGUAGGGGAGAAUGGAAUUCCCGGUGUAGCGGUGAAAUGCGCAGAUAUCGGGAGGAACACCGGUGGCGAAGGCGGUUCUCUGGGCCGAUACUGACGCUGAGGAGCGAAAGCGUGGGGAGCGAACAGG
rnacentral:rRNA from 1 species